rnacentral:rRNA from 1 species
AGCGAACGCUGGCGGCAGGCUUAACACAUGCAAGUCGAGCGCUCGUAGCAAUACGAGAGCGGCAGACGGGAGAGUAACACGUGGGAACGUACCCUUUGGUUCGGAACAACACAGGGAAACUUGUGCUAAUACCGAAUAAGCCCUUACGGGGAAAGAUUUAUCGCCAAAGGAUCGGCCCGCGUCUGAUUAGCUAGUUGGUGGGGUAAUGGCCCACCAAGGCGACGAUCAGUAGCUGGUCUGAGAGGAUGACCAGCCUCAUUGGGACUGAGACACGGCCCAAACUCCUACGGGAGGCAGCAGUGGGGAAUAUUGGACAAUGGGCGCAAGCCUGAUCCAGCCAUGCCGCGUGGAUGAUGAAGGCCUUAGGGUUGUAAAGUCCUUUUAACGGGAAGAUAAUGACGGUACCCGUAGAAUAAGCCCCGGCUAACUUCGUGCCAGCCGCCGCGGU